rnacentral:rRNA from 1 species
UACGAAGGGGGCUAGCGUUGCUCGGAAUCACUGGGCGUAAAGCGCACGUAGGCGGAUCUUUAAGUCAGGGGUGAAAUCCUGGAGCUCAACUCCAGAACUGCCUUUGAUACUGAGGGUCUUGAGUUCGGGAGAGGUGAGUGGAACUGCGAGUGUAGAGGUGAAAUUCGUAGAUAUUCGCAAGAACACCUGCGGCGAAGGCGGGUUGCUGGGCUGACACUGACGCUGAUGCGCGAAAGCCAGGGGAGCGAACGGG